rnacentral:rRNA from 1 species
GACGGAGGGUGCUAGCGUUAUUCGGAUUUAUUGGGCGUAAAGAGAGUGUAGGCGGUCAGCCAAGUCUGAUGUGAAAGCCCGGGGCUUAACCUCGGAAGGGCGUUGGAAACUGGUUGACUUGAGUUCGGGAGAGGAAAGCGGAAUUCCGGGUGUAGAGGUGAAAUUCGUAGAUAUCCGGAGGAACACCGGUGGCGAAGGCGGCUUUCUGGACUGAAACUGACGCUGAGGAGCGAAAGCGUGGGGAUCAAAC